CAAAGAGUCAGACGUGACUCAGUGACUGAACAAUAACAACCACCUUUCCUGGCACAUUCUGGCCAGUUCGGAGGAGCAGGUGACAAAGGAUUAUGGCUCCUAUCACCGGGUCUGACCCAGUGGUACAUAGUAAGCAGCUGCAGGGAGAGUGUUCUGGUUUGUCUACGGCAGGGGGCAUCCUCCAGGCACCUGUUCCGAUUGUUCUGGUCAUCCCUGCUGGCAUCUAAUCCAGACUGGCCACUGACUGCAGGGGUAUGGAGGGGCACCUUUUUCUAACUGGCCAUCUCCACCAGAAGAGAAGUAAGCCUCUGUCAGGGGACUUCCCAGCGGGCUCAGACGGUAAAGCGUCUGCCUACAACGCGGGAGAUCCGAGUUCAAUCCCUGGGUCGGGAAGAUCUCAUGGAGAAGGAAAUGGCAACCAACUCCAGUAUUCUUGCCUGGAAAAUACCAUGGACGGAGGAGCCUGGUGGGCUACAGUCCAUGGGGUCGCAAGGAGUGGGACACGACUGAGCGACUUCACUUUAAGCCUCUGUCAAGAGGUGGGGCUCUGAAGCCUGGAAAGGAAUUGGAUUUCUCUUUGGAAAGGACUCCAGAUGCAAGAGAACUCGGUGGGAAUGGACGUCACAGAAGCAGUUUUUGCUGCAGGUCAAAGUGCCCGUGGGAGAAAGGAGAGGGAUUGAACCUGCACCCCUGGAUUGGAAGGCAAAGUCCCAACCACCGGAGCACCGGGGAGGUCCCUCCUGCAGCCCUCCUUACUCUCCUGCAGUGCUUGGUGCUUGCUGGCACCUGGAUCACUCCCAGGACUGGAUCUGCAGAUGUCCUCCCCUUUGGGGACCCUUGUUGCAGAUAACGAUAAAAUGCAAAUGGGGGAGGGUCAUGGAGCAUGUGGGGUAGAUGAGAGCAUAGAGAAGGUCAGGCUGAUCACCAGAGGUGUCUCUGGGGAAAGGCACAGAGGGGACCAGCAGGAGCUCUGGGAAGGACCAGCCAGCAGGAAGGGAGUUGGAAGAGCAGCCAGGAAGGCAAGGCUGCUGGGGGUGCGGGUGCACCACGGGCCAUGGGAACAGAGAGGGGACGGGGGUCUUGGAAGCCUGGAAGAAGCAGAUUUUGAGAAGCCGCAGUGAUGAGUCAAGACUGUAGACAAGUCAAUAACUGUAGACAGUUAUUAAGACAAGCAGUGAAUUGUCCGCUGUGCACGGUAGUCAUUCGGUCUUGUCCGACUCUUUGCGACCCCAUGGCCUGUAGCCCACCAGGCUCUUCUGUCUGUGGGAUUUCCCAGGCAAGAAUACUGGAGCAGCUUGUCAUCCCCUUCUUCCGGGGAUCUUCCCGACCCAGGGGUCGAACCCGUGUCUCCUGCACUGCGGGUGGAUUCUUUACCGUCUGACCACCAGGGAAGCCCAUUAGAUUUAAGAGUUCAGCGCUAACUAGGGCCGUCAUCAGAGCUGGUUAGAAGGAAGAGCUGGGGCCGGAAACCAGCCUCUAGCGGGCUGGAAGGCAAGCACCCAAGACAGCAAGUGAAGC
ensembl:lncRNA